rnacentral:rRNA from 1 species
UACAGAGGGUGCAAGCGUUAAUCGGAAUCACUGGGCGUAAAGGGCGCGUAGGCGGCUUUUUAAGUCGGGGGUGAAAGCCUGUGGCUCAACCACAGAAUUGCCUUCGAUACUGGAAAGCUUGAGACCGGAAGAGGACAGCGGAACUGCGAGUGUAGAGGUGAAAUUCGUAGAUAUUCGCAAGAACACCAGUGGCGAAGGCGGCUGUCUGGUCCGGUUCUGACGCUGAGGCGCGAAAGCGUGGGGAGCAAACAGG